CUCUCUCUCUCGGAACACCAUAAUCUAUCGUCAGCAACAAAACUGAUAUAUGUUUUUCAGCUUUCUGCUUCCAAUAUACAGUCUUUACGAUUCCUUCUACGAAUCAUUUGAAGGGCGUUGCUGGUCUUGAUUUGGUGGUAUUAUGAAUUAAAAGGUCGCUUCCUUCAUGGUGGCUGUAGUGACAACAGUAGAAGAAACCACAUCUGGCGCUUACAUGGGUUAUAAUCUGGUGCACAAGGCCAACCCAUAUACACCCUUACCACCCAGCACCAAGCUAGAACCUGGAGAGGUUUUACCAUCUUGUGCCAAACCUUAUGUGGCUCAAUAAGGCUUCGGUUCCUU